rnacentral:rRNA from 1 species
UACGUAGGAGGCGAGCGUUGUCCGGAUUUACUGGGCGUAAAGAACGUGUAGGCGGUUCGUUAAGUUUGGCGUAAAAUCUCCUGGCUCAACUGGGAGGGCGCACCGAAGACUGGCGGACUGGAGGGCAUCAGAGGAAAGCGGAACUCCCGGUGUAGUGGUGAAAUGCGUAGAGAUCGGGAAGAACACCCGUGGCGAAGGCGGCUCUCUGGGACGGUACUGACGCUGAGACGCGAAAGCGUGGGGAGCGAACAGG